GGAGUAUCACAGAGAUGAGGAUGUAGGUACAAGUAGCAGUACCAUCAAACCCACAACAGAGAACUCAAGAUUUCUGUCAUCCUUCACUUGCAAGUUCACAACCAUCAGCAUUGAGGUUUAAAUCUAAACUAGAUCGGUGCUUGGAGGAUGAUAUGGUGGACAUACAGACCGAAGGCUUCAAUGUUUUGGACUGGUGGAAGGUUGCAGGAACACGCUAUCCUACUUUGAGGAUGAUAGCUAGGGAUAUUUUUGCAAUUCCUAUUACAACCGUUGCUUCAGAAUCUGCGUUUAGCACAAGCGGAAGAGUACUUAGUGAGCACCGCAGCAGGCUCACCUCUCAAAUGUUAGAGGCUCUGAUGUGUUCGCAGGACUGGAUUAGAAACAAACAAAUACAAAGGAAUCCUUACUGAUGAAGGAAAACCUGCUAGCUUCUGAUCUUGUCUCAAUGAAGUUCAAGAGGGGCUUCAGGAGCUGAAACUUUGAACCCAUCGCUCCAGUUCUCUUUGGCAGGAUCAACAAUCAAGCACUCAAGCUGGCGUGUAACUGCAAAUUCAUUUUGUUAUGUGCUCACACAACUGAACCACUAACUAUUUGUGUAAUAGUCUGGUGUGUAAUGUGUGAUAACACUGGGGGAUUGUGUUGCUGCUAUGACUAUGUUAUAGUUAUGAUUGACUCUCUGAGCGACGAAGCCUAUGGGCUAUAACUAUGUAUGUAUUUUGAUGUUGAAUUGUUGAUA